GCGCGCGGGGCGGGGCCGAGCGAGUUCAGGAGCAGUGAGGUGUGGCUGGGUGUGCGCGCACGCGUUUGUGGAAAGGGGCCAGCCGCUGCCUCUUCUCCUCAAGGAGCCCUCGAAUGUGUACUGAAGGUCCCCCGGCCAGCAAUCUCUUGCAGCGAAGCUCCCACCUCUCCUUCCGGUUCUCGCCAACAAGGUGUGUUAUGGAAGAAGAACACGAGGUUCUGUAGAAAGAUUGGCCCCAGAUCUUGAAGUUCUAGCAGGUUCAAGGAGAGCAUUUGAUGGUUCUUCUCACAAUUCCUCUCUUGUCUCAGUCGUAAAGCUGUAGCUUACCGAUGAUGGUGAUGGGUGCACAAAGACCACAGAGGCAAAGUCACAGGUGGGAGGGUUGGUGCAGGUGGCAAUGGCAAGAAACUGAUCCGAUCAAGCACAUCCACAACUGCUCGAGAGCCCCUGCCAGGUGAAGCAUGUUUUGCUGUUCCAAUCACCUCUCUCUUGACACGGUUUCAGUCUUCCCAAUGAGUUGAAUUGUACCUUGAUCUGCCCAUGGAUGAGCAAGCAAGCAGGCUAUAUGUACAGCUAAAAGGCUAUCAAUGGUGAGGUGGAGUCAAAGUACUUAGUGGACCUGUGGUCAAGGAACCACCCCUGCUACAUUGGCGAGUGGCGGCUCCUCAGCGUUGGCCAUCAUUUGCAGUAUCUCCUUCUGUAGCUCCAGCAGCAGCAGUGUCGAUGACAAGCUGGAGAAGCCCAUGACAGAAGCCAUGGACGAGCUGUACGGAGAAGCUCCUCUACAAGAGCCUGUUGUCAAUGGCAUCAACACAAGAUUCAGUUGCUGCGUAGCGCUCACACUGCAGUGGUGUCAAAAUCAACGGUUUCACCGGCACCGACGAUGGGAUCGUAGCGCAGCUUCUCACCUCAGUGCAAGCAACUGUCCGAGGAUAAUGCAAAAGGUAACAUUUGAUCGCAUUGCAUGCUAGAGGACGCGAGCGAAGAAUCCGGGACUGUCUAAUAGUUUAUUUGAUGCUACGCAUUUGUGCUCUCUACAAAGCUCAAGGAUAUCUAGCUCGGCAGCUGUGUUCAAUUAAGUUUGCAAAUGUCAGCACCAAAGUGAGAGAUUCAGAUGAUUGUCAAAAAUUUGAGGUGGAAGCAAAUUAAAUCAACGCCCUGUAGUUUUGAAGCAGUCUUGCACGGCAGCGAGCUCCGCGUCGUGUGACAAGAAAUACCAAGGAUAUUUGCUUGGGAGUCCGAAACUCUAGAAAGGUUAUGAAUGUGGUGUCUCCAUGGAAUUGGAUUCGACAAGUGUACAUGUUGUGGCCUCAGCAACUUGAACAUAUGACACUGUUUACAUUGUACGCCGAGUGCAUAUUUUGCAAUAGACUAGAAGAUGCAAUCUGCCUUAUUCUAGCAUUUGCCUAAUGUAAUAGCCUAUGUUCAAGGAAAAACAGUAAUGCAGACCUAAAGGAUAUCACAAUAUCUCAUAACUGUUUGUAUCAA